UGAGCUGUGAUGGGGAGAAGACAUUGUGUCUUCGAGUCGUUGAUUUCACACUGCCGAGAAAAGCCUCUAGAUAGAAAAUAGGUGCCCGUACCGCAAACCGACACAGGUAGUCAAGAUGAGAAUUCUAAGGUGAGCGAGCGAACUCUCGUUAAGGAACUCGGCAAAAUGACCCCGUAACUUCGGGAGAAGGGGUGCUCUUUAGGGUUAACGCCCAGAAGAGCCGCAGUGAAUAGGCCCAAGCGACUGUUUAUCAAAAACACAGGUCUCUGCUAAACCGUAAGGUGAUGUAUAGGGGCUGACGCCUGCCCGGUGCUGGAAGGUUAAGAGGAGUGGUUAGCUUCUGCGAAGCUACGAAUCGAAGCCCCAGUAAACGGCGGCCGUAACUAUAACGGUCCUAAGGUAGCGAAAUUCCUUGUCGGGUAAGUUCCGACCCGCACGAAAGGCGUAACGAUUUGGGCACUGUCUCAACGAGAGACUCGGUGAAAUCAUAGUACCUGUGAAGAUGCAGGUUACCCGCGACAGGACGGAAAGACCCCGUGGAGCUUUACUGUAGCCUGAUAUUGAAAUUCGGCACAGCUUGUACAGGAUAGGUAGGAGCCUUUGAAACGUGAGCGCUAGCUUACGUGGAGGCGCUGGUGGGAUACUACCCUAGCUGUGUUGGCUUUCUAACCCGCACCACUUAUCGUGGUGGGAGACAGUGUCAGGCGGGCAGUUUGACUGGGGCGGUCGCCUCCUAAAAGGUAACGGAGGCGCUCAAAGGUUCCCUCAGAAUGGUUGGAAAUCAUUCAUAGAGUGUAAAGGCAUAAGGGAGCUUGACUGCGAGACCUACAAGUCGAGCAGGGUCGAAAGACGGACUUAGUGAUCCGGUGGUUCCGCAUGGAAGGGCCAUCGCUCAACGGAUAAAAGCUACCCCGGGGAUAACAGGCUUAUCUCCCCCAAGAGUUCACAUCGACGGGGAGGUUUGGCACCUCGAU
rnacentral:rRNA from 1 species